UUUUAUGGAGAGUUUGAUCCUGGCUCAGGAUGAACGCUGGCGGCGUGCCUAAUACAUGCAAGUCGAGCGAACGGACGAGAAGCUUGCUUCUCUGAUGUUAGCGGCGGACGGGUGAGUAACACGUGGAUAACCUACCUAUAAGACUGGGAUAACUUCGGGAAACCGGAGCUAAUACCGGAUAAUAUUUUGAACCGCAUGGUUCAAAAGUGAAAGACGGUCUUGCUGUCACUUAUAGAUGGAUCCGCGCUGCAUUAGCUAGUUGGUAAGGUAACGGCUUACCAAGGCAACGAUGCAUAGCCGACCUGAGAGGGUGAUCGGCCACACUGGAACUGAGACACGGUCCAGACUCCUACGGGAGGCAGCAGUAGGGAAUCUUCCGCAAUGGGCGAAAGCCUGACGGAGCAACGCCGCGUGAGUGAUGAAGGUCUUCGGAUCGUAAAACUCUGUUAUUAGGGAAGAACAUAUGUGUAAGUAACUGUGCACAUCUUGACGGUACCUAAUCAGAAAGCCACGGCUAACUACGUGCCAGCAGCCGCGGUAAUACGUAGGUGGCAAGCGUUAUCCGGAAUUAUUGGGCGUAAAGCGCGCGUAGGCGGUUUUUUAAGUCUGAUGUGAAAGCCCACGGCUCAACCGUGGAGGGUCAUUGGAAACUGGAAAACUUGAGUGCAGAAGAGGAAAGUGGAAUUCCAUGUGUAGCGGUGAAAUGCGCAGAGAUAUGGAGGAACACCAGUGGCGAAGGCGACUUUCUGGUCUGUAACUGACGCUGAUGUGCGAAAGCGUGGGGAUCAAACAGGAUUAGAUACCCUGGUAGUCCACGCCGUAAACGAUGAGUGCUAAGUGUUAGGGGGUUUCCGCCCCUUAGUGCUGCAGCUAACGCAUUAAGCACUCCGCCUGGGGAGUACGGCCGCAAGGCUGAAACUCAAAGGAAUUGACGGGGGCCCGCACAAGCGGUGGAGCAUGUGGUUUAAUUCGAAGCAACGCGAAGAACCUUACCAGGUCUUGACAUCCUCUGACAACCCUAGAGAUAGGGCUUCUCCUUCGGGAGCAGAGUGACAGGUGGUGCAUGGUUGUCGUCAGCUCGUGUCGUGAGAUGUUGGGUUAAGUCCCGCAACGAGCGCAACCCUUGAUCUUAGUUGCCAUCAUUCAGUUGGGCACUCUAAGGUGACUGCCGGUGACAAACCGGAGGAAGGUGGGGAUGACGUCAAAUCAUCAUGCCCCUUAUGAUUUGGGCUACACACGUGCUACAAUGGACAAUACAAAGGGCAGCGAAACCGCGAGGUCAAGCAAAUCCCAUAAAGUUGUUCUCAGUUCGGAUUGUAGUCUGCAACUCGACUACAUGAAGCUGGAAUCGCUAGUAAUCGUAGAUCAGCAUGCUACGGUGAAUACGUUCCCGGGUCUUGUACACACCGCCCGUCACACCACGAGAGUUUGUAACACCCGAAGCCGGUGGAGUAACCUUUUAGGAGCUAGCCGUCGAAGGUGGGACAAAUGAUUGGGGUGAAGUCGUAACAAGGUAGCCGUAUCGGAAGGUGCGGCUGGAUCACCUCCUUUCUAA
rnacentral:rRNA from 1 species